GAACGGGUGAGUAACACGUGGGCAAUCUGCCCUUCACUCUGGGACAAGCCCUGGAAACGGGGUCUAAUACCGGAUAACACCUGCCCGGGCAUCUGGGUGGGUUAAAAGCUCCGGCGGUGAAGGAUGAGCCCGCGGCCUAUCAGCUUGUUGGUGAGGUAGUGGCUCACCAAGGCGACGACGGGUAGCCGGCCUGAGAGGGCGACCGGCCACACUGGGACUGAGACACGGCCCAGACUCCUACGGGAGGCAGCAGUGGGGAAUAUUGCACAAUGGGCGAAAGCCUGAUGCAGCGACGCCGCGUGAGGGAUGACGGCCUUCGGGUUGUAAACCUCUUUCAGCAGGGAAGAAGCGAAAGUGACGGUACCUGCAGAAGAAGCGCCGGCUAACUACGUGCCAGCAGCCGCGGUAAUACGUAGGGCGCAAGCGUUGUCCGGAAUUAUUGGGCGUAAAGAGCUCGUAGGCGGCUUGUCACGUCGGGUGUGAAAGCCCGGGGCUUAACCCCGGGUCUGCAUUCGAUACGGGCUAGCUAGAGUGUGGUAGGGGAGAUCGGAAUUCCUGGUGUAGCGGUGAAAUGCGCAGAUAUCAGGAGGAACACCGGUGGCGAAGGCNGAUCUCUGGGCCAUUACUGACGCUGAGGAGCGAAA
rnacentral:rRNA from 1 species